ACGUGAGCUUUGUUUAAGGAGGAGCGUACAAACCCUCAGGUCUUACAAGUUUUGUACGGCUUUCUGUUAUUUUUAGUGGCUAUGGUUGAUAAUAGUUAUCACGCCAAGUUUAAAAGCAGAAGCAACGCUUAAAUAUACGCUUUAACACAGCUAACUACUUGAUGUUUCUCUAACUUGCAUUUGGAUGAUGCAAAUUGCAGCUGUCAGUGUCCAGCUCAGCUGUCAAACUGUUAUCUGGUGAUAUGCUGUCCUUGAGCCAUGUUCAGCGUGUUAGUUUGGAUUUCACCGUAACCCUUUUCCCUCAUGCAAUUUGUCUUGGGAAUGCGGACAAUGACUCGCUGAAUGAACUUAUCGUGGGUGACACCAGUGGAAAGCUGCAUGUGUACAAGAAUGAUGACUCUAAGCCUUGGAUCACUAGAACAUGUGUGGGCAUGCUCACCUGUGUUGGUGUUGGAGACAUCUGCAACCAAGGAAGGGUGGGUGUGCAGAAACUGCAUAGUCCUCCAGUCAGAUGAGGAAUAUUUGUGUGUUUCCCCCCCCCCCCUUGCAUCCAAUGAGUGCUAUCAUCUAACUAUUCACUGCCUUAACUUAUCCAUCAAAACUUUGUAGUUGCUGUGGGUGCAGAGGGAUGGUUUCACCUGUUUGACCUGUCUGCAGUGGCAGGAGCCAAGUCAGAUUUGUCCAGCCAGC